ensembl:lncRNA
GGCGGAGGUUGCAGUGAGCUGAGACUGCACCACUAGACUUCAGCCUGGGCAACAGAGGGAGAUUCUGUCUCAUAAAUAAAUAAAUACAUAGAAAAGAAAAGAAAAAUGCCAGAACAUCCAGAACAUCAUUACUAGGCAGCGGUGAAAAGCUGGUGGGAAGCUUGGUGGACUAACCCCUGUCUGGUGGGAUGACUUUCUGGAUCUUUACAAACUCAAGGCCCAAGAACCGGAUCUUGAUUCGACAUUGGUUGUUUUGUUUGUUUAUUUGCUCUGGUGAUGGGAACAUGGAAAGGAGCCGUCCUCCUUUCCGUGCACAGGCCCCCAGCAGACCAGGAGUCCGGUGCCGCGCUUUGCAGGACCCUCGGGUCGGCAUGCUGGUCACCGUCACCCAGCGCAGUCUGCACCUGCAGAAGUGUUGCCCGAGCCCUGUCUGUCAGGCCCUGCAGACUCGCUCAGGCCAGCCCCUCGGGAGUGUGAAGGCCCGGAAUCCGUUUCUAUCCUAUUUCUCCCCAUUGAACUGAAAGCCAGAUUUCCCAUCUGUCGGGUCGGAGGUGCAUCAAGUCAUCCCUGGGAGUUGGUGAGUCACAGCAUCAGCCUGCAGCGCCGUGGGGCAGAGGGGUAAGCAUACCGUGAGCAACUGGCAUCUUCCUUCUAGGAACCCCGACAGACGGCGAGAGGAGACGGGACGGGCACGUACCCAGAAACUGCUUUCUUCCCAGGCUCCCUCCCCCAAACACAAGUUUUUGUGUGUGUGUUUUUUUGAGAUGGAGUCUCACUCUGUUGCCCAGGCUGGAGUGCAGUGGCAUGAUCUCGGCUCACUGCAACCUCCACCUCCGCCGCCUGGGUUCAGUGAUCCUCCUGCCUCAGUCUCCUGAGUGGCUGGGAUUACAGGCACCCACCACCACGCCUGGCUAAUUUUUGUAUUUUUAGUAGAGAUGGGGUUUCACCAUGUUGGCCAGGCUGGUCUCGAACUCCUGACCUCAGGUGAUCCACCCGCCUUGGCCUCCCAAAGUGCUUGGAUUACAGGCGUGAGCCACCGUGCCCGGCCUAAAAACAAGUUUUAUUGCAAAUUUGGAACAGGCCUCGGAGAAGGACUCUGAGAAUUGAGACCGAAGUUCCCUUAGUGGGCUGCAUGAUUUCUGGGUUUCUAUGCCGUUUCCAUGUUGGAGCCUGAUUGGAUGAAAAGGAGCACAGCCUCCAGUACUGGCUGCUGAGCAAGGCAGCCCUGUGCACUCGGGAAUUUUCAGCUAGGGUUUUUCAUGAGCAGUUAGAGAACUAAUUGGAACAGCAAUUCUCCCACUCCAAACCCCGUUCUAGGGGCCGGUUGUUCGUUCUUCGCGUCUUUCCAGAGAGGGUGGUCAUUCUGGACGUGGUAUCUCAACCAGCCAAACAGUUGUCUUCCAGUCGGUGGAGUUGGGCUGGCUGGAACAUCUGUACUGCCUCAUUCCGGGCUGUUUGUGACCAGGAAUAUACUUGUUCAUUCAUUCACAUUUGCUCAUUCAUUCACUGAAACUAUUUGUGCAAGGUCCUGGGGUUACAGUGAAUAACGGAGACGUGGUUCCUAUCCUCCCAGAGACCUCAGUCUAGCAGGAGAGACAGGCAUGGAACGUUUACAAGAGUACUGAGCAUUGAGAAGGAGGGAGCGACGCAGGCCUUCCUGGUCUGGUGGGUAGGGAAAGCUCCCUGGAAGACGAGAUAUUUAAGUUAAGACCAGAAGGGUGAGUAGGAGUUACCCAGGCAGAGUGGGGGCAGAGCAUUUUCGCCAGAGAUACCAACCUAUGCAAAAGUUCCGAGACAGGAAAAAGUAGAAGACAGCAAGGAGUAGAAUGUGCCAGAUGAAGCUGAAAGGGGUGCAGAGGACCGGCCACAGGGCCCUUAGUCCACCAAAAGGAUGUGUGGGUCUCUAUCCUGACAGCAGUGACUCGGGAGGCUGAGGCAGGAGAAUUGCUUGAACCUGGGAGGUGGAGGUUGCAGUGAGC